rnacentral:tRNA from 1 species
GGGGGCGUAGUUCAGUUGGUUAGAACGUCGGGCUGUCAAUCCGAAGGUCGCGAGUUCGAGACUCGUCGCUCCCGCCA